rnacentral:rRNA from 1 species
AGAGUUUGAUCCUGGCUCAGGACGAACGCUGGCGGCGUGGAUUAGGCAUGCAAGUCGCACGAGAAACAUUCCUUCGGGAAUGCGGACAGUGGCGAACUGGUGAGUAACACGUGAACAACCUGCCCUUACAUUCCGGAUAGCCGGCCGAAAGGCCGGAUAAUACGGGCGAGGAUCGCACCAAGGCAUCUUGGAGCGAAGGAAGGUGCAAACCGUGCAAGGAGGGGUUCGCGGACUAUCAGGUAGUUGGUGAGGUAACGGCUCACCAAGCCGACGACGGAUAGCUGGUCUGAGAGGAUGAUCAGCCACACUGGGACUGAGACACUGCCCAGACUCCUACGGGAGGCUGCAGUCGAGAAUCUUGGACAAUGUACGAAAGUAUGAUCCAGCGACGCCGCGUGGAGGAUGAAGGAGCUCUGCUUCGUAAACUCCUUUUAUGGGGGAAGAAGAUCUGACGGUACCCCAUGAAUAAGCCACGGCUAACUACGUGCCAGCAGCCGCGGUAAUACGUAGGUGGCAAGCGUUGUCCGGAAUUACUGGGCGUAAAGGGUGCGUAGGCGGAUAUUUAAGUAGAAAGUGAAAGGUUGGAGCUCAACUCCAACAUUGCUUCCUAUACUGGGUGUCUUGAGUUUCGGAGAGGAAGAUGGAACGACACGUGUAGCGGUGAAAUGCGUUGAUAUGUGUCGGAACACCAAUAGCGAAGGCAAUCUUCUGGACGAACACUGACGCUGAGGCACGAAAGCAUGGGUAGCGAACAGGAUUAGAUACCCUGGUAGUCCAUGCCCUAAACGAUGUUCACUAGGUGUCGGGGAUUUUUCUUCGGUGCCGCAGCUAACGCAUUAAGUGAACCGCCUGGGGACUACGACCGCAAGGUUGAAACUCAAAGGAAUUGGCGGGGGCCCGCACAAGCGGUGGAGCAUGUGGCUUAAUUCGAUGCAACGCGAAGAACCUUACCAGGGUUUGACAUGUAGCUGCAAGCUCCCGAAAAGGAGUCGCUUUCGAAGGUGCUACACAGGUGGUGCAUGGCUGUCGUCAGCUCGUGUUGUGAAAUGUUGGGUUAAGUCCCGCAACGAGCGCAACCCUCAUGUUCUGUUGCCAGCGAGUAAUGUCGGGAACUCGGAACAAACUGCCUCUGUAAAGAGGAGGAAGGUGGGGAUGACGUCAAGUCUUCAUGCCCCUUACACCCUGGGCUGCACACAUGCUACAAUGGCCGGUACAAUGAGCAGCGAUACCGCGAGGUGGAGCAAAUCUCAAAAAGCCGGUCUCAGUUCGGAUUGGAGUCUGCAACUCGACUCCAUGAAGUCGGAAUCGCUAGUAAACGCCGGUCAGCAACACGGCGUUGAAUACGUUCCCGGGCCUUGCACACACCGCCCGUCAAGCCACGAAAGUUGGUCUCUCCCGAAGUCGCCGAGCUAACCGCAAGGAGGCAGGCGCCGAAGGAGCGGUCGAUGAUUGGGACUAAGUCGUAACAAGGUAACC